GUCAGCAAUCUCAUAUAUUGUGUUUUCAAUUUGAUCGUUUAGUUCUGUAAAGAAUCCUCAAUAAUAAAACCCUUAAUGAAUAAUUUGAUUUCUUCCAGUUCUAUCAAGUUUAUUUUUAUUCCUUGGCGAGUUCAUAGUUUUAAUAGUAGCAACAUGAAAUAUUAAGGGAACAUCAUUUCUCUAUGUUACCUAUAGUGAACAUCUUUAUAUAAAUAUAUAGUUAGAUUUAAAGAGAAAUACUAUGAUCAAAUAAAUUUAGCCUUUUUAAAAAUAUCAACCUGGAUGUCAUUAGUUAAUUUCAUCAUUCUAUUAUUUCUAUUUAUAGGUGACCUAAGUACAUAGUUUUUUCUUUGAAGUGGAAUAUAAAAUGUUUUUGCAAAUGAGGGACAUUAAAAUUAAAGCAACAAAGUGAUUUAGAACAGUUUAUAUAACCAUUUAAUAUCUUAUAUAAACUUCAAAUCAGGCAUUUUUCACCUUCAGUUUGACUGGUCAAAUUAUUUAAUUUGAUUAACAACGGGUAUAUAUUGUAAAUUAGGUUACCAAUGGAUGUCAUAUUUGUAUGAAAUAAAGCAAAGGAAUCGAUUUUGGAUAGCUUUAAGGCUUUGUAUAUGAACAGCAAUAGAGGGGGACUAUAUAAUAGAAUUAUAUUCAAGAAUAUAAUACACAAUUUUUAAGGCAUUGUAAUUAAUAAAAUCUUUACAUGAAUUCUAAUGUAUUUGUUUUGUUUUUAAUAUUUAAAUAGUGAUUUUUGAAAGAAAGAGUUGAGUAAAAUUUAACAAACAAAUCACAGUGAGACUAG